CUUCCUUGGAUUUGCCGGUUUCUACAGACGGUUCAUCAAGGACUUUGGUAAGUUGGCCGCACCUCUUCAUGCACUUACCGCUACCAAUGUCCCCUUUCAGUGGAACCGUGAUGCAGGAAUGGCGUUCUGGAGCCUCAAAAGACGUUUCAUCUCUGCACCCAUCCUUGUUUAUCCGGACCCAGACCUUCCGUUCAUUGUUGAGGUGGACGCCUCCGACUCGGGUAUAGGUGCAGUUCUGUCCCAACGCUCCAAGCAGGAUAACAAGACCGGGCUCCCGUCAUACAAAGGCUGAUGCCCACUCAUGUCAGUUCUCGGAGGAGAGAAUUGACAAUGCCCCAGAAGAGACUAUCGUUCCUCUCUCCAAAAUUAUCGGCAUGGUCACAUGGGCAGUGGAGGGACUGGUCAAGGAAGCCCUAAAGGUUAGUCCGGGACCCAAGGGAGGACCUCCCAACAAACUAUUCGUUCCUCGUGACCUGCGACCUCGAGUUCUGGACUGGGGACACUCUAGUGUGUUCACCUGCCAUCCGUGAUUUCAGUGUACCCUAUCCUUCAUCCGCCGGCGGUUCUGGUGGCCAUCCAUGGCCAAUGAUACCCGUGAGUUCAUUUCUGCUUGUACCACUUGUGCACGUAAUAAGCCUUCCCACAGACCGCCUGCAGGACUAUUGCUCCCCCUACCUGUUCCCAGUCGCCCAUGGUCACAGAUAUCUCUGGACUUCAUCACUGGCUUCCCACCUUCCCAAGGUAACACCACUAUUCUCACCAUUAUUGACCGUUUUUCUAAAGCCGCACACUUCAUUCCGCUACCCAAACUUCCAUCUUCUUCCGAGACUGCUGAUCUUAUCACAAAUCAUAUUGUCAGACUUCACGGAAUUCCUGUGGACAUCGUCUCGGACCGUGGUCCCCAGUUCCCCUCCCGGGUGUGGCAGAACUUUUGCAAGGGAAUCGGGGCCACGGUCAGUUUUACCUCGGGUUACCACCCUCAGAGCAACGGUCAAGCAGAAAGAGCCAAUCAAAGUGUUGAGACCAUGCUACGUUGUAUCUCCGCCAGACAACCAUCCUCUUGGUGCAAGUUUCUGUCUUGGGUUGAAUUUGCUCAUAAUUCUUUGAAGAGUUCAGCGACCGGAUUGUCACCUUUUGAGUGCUCCUUAGGUUACCAACCACCUAUGUUUCAUCAACAGGAAAUUGAAGCUGCAGUUCCCUCUCCCCAUAAACACAUCAAAUGAUGCCAGCAAAUUUGAAAAGCCGCCCGGGCUUCCCUUAUUAAAUCCGCUGAAAGAAUGUGCCGCAGUGCUAAUCAUCGACGCAUCCCGGCUCCCUCAUAUUCACCGGGUCAACAAGUUCUUCUACGAACUGAAUAUCUUCAUCUUGAGGUACCGUCUCGUAAACUUGCACCCCGAUUUGUAGGCCCAUACAACAUUGAGGCCAUAAUAAACCCUGCUGCUGUUAAACUUUCCUUACCUCCUUCAGUCAAGCGACAUCCCGUGAUCCAUGUUUCCCAGAUCAAACCAGUUGUUACUUCCCACCCCACCCCCUCCCAGGAUUUUGGACAAUGGUGACCCUGUUUGGACCGUUAAAGAAAUUCUCGGGGUCCGUCGGCAAGGUAGGGGGUUAGUGUAUUUAGUUGAUUGGGAGGGUUAUGGGCCUGAAGAUAGGUCUUGGGUCCUUGCCUCCUACCUUGCUGACCCAUCGCUGCUUGAGGAUUUCUAUCGGGCCAACCCAGGAGCUCGUCGGGGGUCUCGCAUAAGGGGGUGGGCACUGUUAUGACACACGCUCAGUCUUCCCUGCCUUCAUCUGCGGGAGAACUCGACGGCUCCACUCUGAGUGCGUCCACACGCGCCACACCCAGACACGCCCCCUCGCGCGCAGCGCGGACCGCUCACACACACAACUGGAGACGAUCACCAAUCAAGACACCUGGCAGUGAUUACGGACGACAGAAUAAAGAUUCCCGCCGCUGAACCCUCGUCGUUGGAACGUUGCUAUUGCUUGCACCCCUGUCUCCAUUCCUGCUGCCAUCCUCUCUGGAACCCUGAUUUGCUCUCCUGGAUCCCUGACACAUUGCCUGGACUUUGGACGCUCUCGCCUGCCCCACGACCACGCUCGGACACCGGAUUGCUUUUGCCUUCUCCCUCUGGUUUUGGACGCCACCAUCCAACACGCAUGACAACAUUCUUUACGGUAUUUCCAUAUGUUAAUUCCAGCACAUAGUACACACUCAAACAUAUAGUAGCAUACACAUCCCACGUUAUCAUUAAUUACUCAAUAAAUAUUGAGUUGGACUUCCACUGUUGUGCCGUCUCCUUCCACCUGUCUUCGCCUUAACACCUAGUUUGUGAAUGUUGUCUUUCUAUCUGUGGUGGCCCUGCGAUGAGAUGGCUACUUGUCCAGGGUGUACGCCGCCCUCUGCCUGAAUGCAGCUGAGAUAGGCUCAAGCGCCCCCCGUGUUCCCAAAAAGGGACAAGCGGUAGGAAAUGGAUGGAUGGAUGUGUCAUGACUUGUCACCGCAGGUUACCUUGUCUUGGUUUUGUAAUCUGUGCAUCCUGUGUUUGAGGUUUUCUUUACCUUUGCAGCGCUCCUUCCUCUGGUCUAGUCACACCUGACCCUCUCAUAACCAGGAGAGUUUAUAUGUCAGCUUCACCUGCCCCUUGCUGCUGGAUGAUUACUUGUGUUUGUUUCCUGUGCACUUCAAUGUGGCACUAGUUGUUGUUUAUUCAAUAUCAAACAGUUUUAUUUGCACACUGUCUCUUGUUUCCGCAUCUUGGGGUCACAAUUACUGUAAGGUAGGGUUGGGUAUCGCAGGGGUAGGGAACCUAUGGCUCGAGAGCCAGAUGUGGCUCUUUUGAUGACUGCGUCUGGCUCUCAGAUAGAUCUUAGCUGACAUUGUUUAACACGAUAAGUAAUGAAUGAUUCCGCUGGUAAUCACAGUGUCAAAAAUAACGUUCAAAAUAUAAAACCUUCUCAUACAUUUUCAUCCAUUCAUCCGGUUUCUACCACACCUGUUCAAGAAGUCGCAUUAAUGGUAAGAAGUAUUUUAUUUAUUUUUGGUUAGCCUCAGAAAAACAAUGUUAUUGAAAAGAAAAUAAGACUCUUUAUACUCUAAAAAUGUUGGUCUUUCUUAAAAAUCCACGCAUAUAGUUGUAUUCAGUGUUAAAUAAUAUAAAAUGACAUGGCUCUCACGGAAAUACUUUUAUAAAUGUUUGGCUUGUAUGGCUCUCUCCGCCAAAAAGGUUCCCGACCCCUGGAGUAUCGAUUGAAACAGUGACUAACUUUCCGAUUUUCCCGGAAUCGUUCAAAAGUUUAAAUUUCGAUUCCUAGUUUCGAGACCCAGUUCGCCGACCGGAAAAAAAUAAGUCCGCCAACCCAGAAGAAGAAGCCGAUGAACACCAACGAAGAAGCGCCAAACGUCUGAAGUGUUAGCAUAGCCGAGCCUAUGUAGCCGAGCGAGUCAGUCAAGCAUGGAUAGCGGGCGUCGGCGGUCGAAAGUGUGGCUUUAUUUUGCUAAAAAAAAUUAAAUAUCGGCGAAAUGUAACACGUGCGACAGGACUGUUUCGUGCUUAGGAGGGUGCACGUCGAAUAUGAUGAAGCCCCUCCGAGUUCAUGGAGUACAACUAAAUGUGUGUCCCGUCUUCGACAGGAGACACUAUCUGUCCAGAACGCUCAUGCAUCCUGCCUGAGAAGGCGGAUAUGGUCAUUUUCCUGAACAAGAACUGUCUCUGAUUUUAUACUGUACCUGCUGCUAAUAGGGACUGGGUUUUGAAAGUUGUUUUUUUAUUGUUUAUUUGCUUUUCUCCACCAGGUUAGCCCAUCAGUGGGAGUACAGUAACAUGUUUAAGUACCUGCAGCAUCAUACACUUGUGUGUGUAAAUGUGUUUUCAUGAGGUUUCCUGCAGUAUCAUACACUUAUGUGUAAAUGUGU